GCUUUUGAAAACUUGUAUAACAUAAUUCCAUGUGUAUCUACUGAGAAAUAAGCCCCACUGACUUACAUGGAACUUACUCACAUGGGGAGUGAUACUUCAGGAGGCAUGUGUGAGUCAGCCCCAUGGAGAAUGAAUGUCCUGAGGUACUAACUCCCCAUGUAAAUGUUGGAGCAGAGAUACUAUAAUCUUGGCUCUGUUCGGGUUUGCCCCAUGCUCUAUGCAUAAUUCCUGAGUGAAACACUAACCAGAGCCAUGAGUUGCACAGGCAUAGGCAGUGGACCUCUUUGGAGAAUGGUAUUUUACUGUGUUUUGUCAUGAAGAACAUUUAUUUAUUUAUUCCAUUUGACAGAUCAGUUCACCAUCCAGAAACAUGUCACCCAGACUUUACCUUCCCAAAUUGCAUAGUUCCUAGGAUUCAUAAACACUGGUCCUAAUGUUUUGUAUGGAAGCUUUCCCACUUUAUCUGCUGUGGAAGUAUGCUGAGUUGCAGAUGCCUGCCUUGUUCUAAUUGCUUUAUGAUUGGCUCCUGAAUUCCAUAUAAUAUAUCUGUUACUCUAUGUGUGUGCAUUGUGUUUCCACUUGCUAGCUUAAAUAUCCAGCGUACUCUACAAAAUGUAGCCUCAUUUGUUGGGGAUUGUGGAUAAAAAGUAGAAGCUCUUACGUGUGCCCAUGAACCCAGAGUCACCCUGCAGAAUGAUGCACCACUCAGCUUUGCAGAACAAAUAACACAGGAACUUUUAUUAAGUCCAAGAGAUCAACCAAACAAUGGUAUUUACAACAGUCCCUCUGAUUGCUUACAGAAAACAGCAGUCCUUUCUUAGUCCAUAAAUCUGCUUCAGUGGAGAUCAGCAGCAAACUAGGCCUCAGAAAUAGUCAGGCCUCUCUGAGUACAGAGCCAUCUUCUUUCCAGCCAGUACUCGGUAGACUCACACACACAUAGAGAGAAACCUGUUCAAACCGGUUCUCCAGCAGCAGGACAGCAACAGUUGCAAACCGAUUCCCAGAUCCUUGUAAACUCAGCCAAUUGGUUCCAUGCAUUUGAUUUUCCAGUUAACACAUAUAGUGUCUUUGCAAACCAUUACA
rnacentral:lncRNA from 1 species